rnacentral:rRNA from 1 species
GACGAACCGUGCGACCGUUGUUCGGAAUCACUGGGCUUAAAGGGCGCGUAGGCGGGCUCGCAAGUCAGGGGUGAAAUCCCACGGCUCAACCGUGGAAGUGCCUUUGAUACUGCGGGCCUGGAGGGAGGUAGGGGCGUGCGGAACUUCCGGUGGAGCGGUGAAAUGCGUAGAUAUCGGAAGGAACACCGGUGGCGAAAGCGGCGCGCUGGACCUCUUCUGACGCUGAGGCGCGAAAGCCAGGGGAGCAAACGGG